UGAAUGAUCCUCGGCUCAUUAAUUUAUAACGUUUCUUUAAAUAACGCAGGAUGACGGCAUCGGGCGACACUUGCCGUAACGGCUUCUCUCUCACUCUCUCGCUUGCUGCUUCAUUCCCAGGGGCCGCUUUUUGUGAAGAGAAGCUCUUUGUUUUAUGUCGUUGAAAUGUUCAUGCUACAAGCCAGAAGCGGGACUGAUUUCUGUGCACAAACAGAAAUUUCUGUGCUUUCACACCGUGUGAGCUACGGAUUGUGAACAUUUGAGAAAUCAGCUGACGGACAGUCUAAUUUGGGGCAAUUACGCGGUCAUUUGAGUAGGGCGUCUUUUGCUCAGCACAAUACAUCAGAAAUCCACCCGUGAUUCUGCAUGCCCGACGAGACCGUUCCGUGGACGGGCUGGAUGGUAAGUCAUCGAUGUUCGUUUGUCCUGCGCCGGCUGGAGGACAUUGGGGUUGUUUUCAGUUUGAGGCUAUUACGAGUAACACACCCCUAUGUCCCCUUUUCUUGGGUGGAUAUCAGAGAGUGACAUGAUUGGGUCAUACGGUGCAUUUUCACGAAAUCGCCAAAUUGUCUGCUAGGGUAGCUGCCUUCCUCCCGGCAGCGAGGGGGAGUUCCAGUCUCUCCACGCCCUCCUCCGUCCUCUGCGCGCGCGUGGGUCUCAGUGAUUCCGAGUGGCGUGCCGGAGCCUCUCGCCGCGGUCUCGCUCUGCGUCUCCUAAUGACAAGAGACGGCGAGUCUCGUUUCGUGUGCUGUUCUGUCAUCCACCGACCUUCUUCAGUGAGUCCCCCCCCCCGGUGUUAAGGUUAACAAAUUGUUGUGUUUUCACGCUGACUUUGAAGUUGUUCUAUAUUCUGGAUACUCAGGUCGUCCAUCCGUUACGCAUGUUGCAAAA